GUGCUUGAACUCUUAGAGUAAGGAAAUUAAAGACAGGAAGUGAUAUUCCUGAUUAUCACACAAUUUUUUGCGAGGGUAAAGGUCUUCCGCGGCGUUUAUCCUACUUUUGAUAAAACGCCGGCAGUGUGAGAUCUGCCCU
rfam:Trichinella patagoniensis scaffold107s, whole genome shotgun sequence.